rnacentral:rRNA from 1 species
CCUACGGGAGGCAGCAGUGGGGAAUAUUGCACAAUGGGGGAAACCCUGAUGCAGCGACGCCGCGUGAGUGAAGAAGUAUUUCGGUAUGUAAAGCUCUAUCAGCAGGGAAGAAAAUGACGGUACCUGAUUAAGAAGCCCCGGCUAACUACGUGCCAGCAGCCGCGGUACUACGUAGGGGGCAAGCGUUAUCCGGAUUUACUGGGUGUAAAGGGAGCGUAGACGGCAGCACAAGUCUGGAGUGAAAUGCCGGGGCUUAACCCCGGAACUGCUUUGGAAACUGUGCCGCUAGAGUGCAGGAGAGGUAAGUGGAAUUCCUAGUGUAGCGGUGAAAUGCGUAGAUAUUAGGAGGAACACCAGUGGCGAAGGCGGCUUACCGGACUGUAACUGACGUUGAGGCUCGAAAGCGUGGGGAGCAAACAGGAUUAGAUACCCCAGUAGUC